rnacentral:rRNA from 1 species
CCUACGUGAGGCAGCAGUGGGGAAUAUUGCACAAUGUGGGAAACCCUGAUGCAGCGACGCCGCGUGAGUGAAGAAGUAUUUCGGUAUGUAAAGCUCUAUCAGCAGGGAAGAAAAUGACGGUACCUGAUUAAGAAGCCCCGGCUAACUACGUGCCAGCAGCCGCGGUAAUACGUAGGGGGCAAGCGUUAUCCGGAUUUAUUGGGUUUAAAGGGUGCGUAGGCGGAAGGUUAAGUCAGCGGUCAAAUGUCGGUGCUCAACACCGGCCUGCCGUUGAAACUGGUCUUCUUGAGUGAGCGAGAAGUAUGCGGAAUGCGUGGUGUAGCGGUGAAAUGCAUAGAUAUCACGCAGAACUCCGAUUGCGAAGGCAGCUCACUGGACUGCAACUGACACUGAGGCUCGAAAGUGUGGGUAUCAAACAGGAUUAGAUACCCCGGUAGUC